AUUAGAUAUCCCAUCACAUUAGUGACUAAAGACCCCUUGGAGACUACAAGGUUGAUAGGCUGGGUGUGUAAGCACAGCAAUGUGUUCAGCUAACCAGUACUAACAGGUCGUGAGGCUUAGCCAC
rnacentral:rRNA from 1 species